rnacentral:rRNA from 1 species
UCCGGAGGGGGCUAGCGUUGUUCGGAAUUACUGGGCGUAAAGCGCACGUAGGCGGCUUUGUAAGUUAGAGGUGAAAGCCUGGGGCUCAACUCCAGAAUUGCCUUUAAGACUGCAUCGCUUGAAUCCAGGAGAGGUGAGUGGAAUUCCGAGUGUAGAGGUGAAAUUCGUAGAUAUUCGGAAGAACACCAGUGGCGAAGGCGGCUCCCUGGACUGGUAUUGACGCUGAGGUGCGAAAGCGUGGGGAGCAAACAGG